rnacentral:rRNA from 1 species
UACGGGGGGGGCAAGCGUUGUUCGGAAUUACUGGGCGUAAAGGGCUCGUAGGCGGCCAACUAAGUCCGACGUGAAAUCCCCAGGCUUAACCUGGGAACUGCGUCGGAUACUGGAUGGCUUGAAUUCGGGAGAGGGAUGCAGAAUUCCAGGUGUAGCGGUGAAAUGCGUAGAUAUCUGGAGGAAUACCGGUGGCGAAGGCGGCAUCCUGGACCGGCAUUGACGCUGAGGAGCGAAAGCCAGGGGAGCAAACGGG